rnacentral:ncRNA from 1 species
GAGGAAGCCCGGUGCGAGUCCGGCGCGGUCCCGCCACUGUAAGCCCGGCCCUCACCGGUCGGGCGAGCCAGGAACUC